GGGACGCGUGCGCACCGCCCGCCCCCUAGCAGUAGCUGCGCCCUUUCGCAGCCGGCCGGCAACGUCUCCUGCGCCGAUCGGCUUUCGCUCCGGUUAACUUUCGGGUCCCGAAACUUUCGUCUAUGCCUGACGCCCCUCGGCGAGGUUUCCCUUGCUCCGAGUCCAUCUAUAAAAAGAAGAAAAUAGGAAGAUCGGCGAGGCCAGCCAUGGGCCGGCCCGCCAAUCAGGACGCGCGCGGGCGUUUUGAACCCUUAGCGGUACGCUGCGCUCCUCCGGUUGGGAACAGCGCGCAGAGAAGAGCCGCUGCGUGUACCCGGGACCAGGGCCUGCACGCCGCGGCGGACCGGUGACAAGUCAGGUGGAGAAGCUCAAGUCUUGAACUCUGCUUGGUUUCCCAGGUACAGGCUAGACCCCACCCACGAUGAUCACUGAAUCACCAGGUGCUGAGGCCUCUUUCUGUUGUCAAGAGCCAGAGACAACUGAAAGAGCCAGAGACAAUUGAAAAUCUUGGAUGUGAGUCAUGGAAAUGAACCUGAACUGAGAGUUGCUUUCCAAAGACUAUCUCACCACUGGGAUUCAGGCUGAACAAAGGAGUUAGAUUCAGUCUGUGUAUCAUUUUUGAGAUAAACUCAGUGUAAACUAUAAGGCAAAGACAUGUUCGAAUUUAAUCUACAUAUAACACCCAGCAUGGAGAGAAUCAGAAACCAAGAGCAUGGUGUACUCAGUCUAACCCACAGGUUAUGGUAAGAACCAUUUGAACAUUUCUUGGUCGGGAUUGUUCUGCUUUUGUGUGUUUCUUCUGUCUUUUGGCUGUGAGUGACCUGCCGAUCUGUACACAUCAGAGUGCCAGGCGGCGUCCUGUGCUGUCCAAGUUUUCCCAGAUACUUUCUUGAGUCAAAGCUGACUUUCAUUCAAAUGUCAUGCUGUCCCCUGCAACAGUUCACAGUCUAUGUAGACUCCACGAUAUGUUUGUAUGUAUGUGGGUCAGGUUCUUUUCACAGCUGUCAAUUCUCCAGAUCAUGUGAUCUGCUGUGAAUUUUCCACCCACAGUUCAAGGAUGCUUUGCCCAUUGCUUUGGCUGGUGUCUCUGUGUAAGUGGCCAGGGCUGCAGUGGGAAGGCUUUAGAGACACCCAAGACUGUUGAUGAACAGAUCAGUUUCCUUUUAGGAGACACUUAACCUUGAAGUCCCAAUCCACCAGUACUAAGGUAUCCUAAAUACUGUCUUCUUGCAGCUUAGUGGAAUAGGCUGACACUUCAAAUGUCAUUAUAAGUGUGUGACCAAGCACACACACACAAACAAACAAACACAAUUUAUGACUUGCAAACACAAGCAGUGACAAUUUGAAUUUUAACUGGAGGAUAAACAUGAAGAAAAUUGACUCGUCAGCACUUAAUAAAUGCCAGAAGCAUUUAAACCAGCAUUUAUCAUUUAAUUUUUUUAAAACCACAUCUUUAAGGGAGAGAUACUUCAUGUUAGAGAGCAGGCAAGGAAGACUCAGAAUUGUGAAAUGCCUUGCUAAAGCCACGUCGAAGUGAGAGUGUGUCUCCUGUAAAUGUCAGAGAAGCUACACCCAUGAAUCAUCGUUAACAUAGUUGGAGAGAGAGAGAGAGAGAGGGAGAGAGAGAGAGAGAGAGAGAGAGCGAGCCAGAGUGAGUGAGAGAGGGAGUGAGAGAAAGAGAGAAAGUGAAAGAGCAAGAGCGAGUGAGAGAGUGAGAGAAAGAGAGAAAGUGAGAGAGCAAGAGCGA
rnacentral:lncRNA from 1 species